CAACUCUUAUGCUACACCGUUGGAUCAAGAAAUGGACGUCCGAGAUUCGUCCACGUCACCCUGAGUUAAAAUUUAACUCGCAGAUUCACUCGUGAGUUAAAAUUUUCACUCGUGAGUUAAAAUUUUCCUCGGUAAAUUUUAACUCAUGGUGACGUGGAUGAAUCUCGGACGUCCAUUUCUCGAUCGAACGGUGUAGGAUGAAAGUUG
rnacentral:pre_miRNA from 1 species